AAGAUGGAAGACUACCAGGCUGCUGAGGAGACUGCUUUUGUCGUUGAUGAGUUGAGCAGAUUGUAAAAGAGGCUAUAGAAAGCGCAAUUGGUGGUAACGCUUAUCAACACAGCAAAGUGAAUCAGUGGACCACAAAUGUAGUAGAACAAACUUCAAGCCAACUCACCAAGCUGGGAAAACCACUGAAAUACGUUGUGACCUGUGUAAUUAUGCAAAAGAACGCAGCUGGAUUACACACGGCAAGUUCCUGCUUCUGGGACAGCUCUGCUGACAGGAGCUGCACCAUGCGAUGGGAGAAUAAAACCAUGUACUGCAUCGUCAGUGCCUUUGAACUGGGUAUUGGACCUCCUAGUCCAGCCUGUGACCUUCCUCCGGUAGUUCAUCUUCUAACACCAGCUAUGAAUUCAGUGAACUCUUUUCUCGUUCUUUUUAAUUCUGUUUUGUGGCACUCUCAAAAUGUAGAGGAAAAAAACAAAUGACUGCACUGUUACAUGAACUGUGCACUAAACUCAGAUGAGUAUCCCUGUAGGUCACCUGCAGCCUGCGUUGCCACUUGUCACUCUAAAUAUUUCUUUUCAAAGGUGCUAAAAUCUGAAAUCUUCUAGUGUGAAACUUGCUAUCCUCUCUGAAAUGAUUCAAAUACACUAAUUUUCCAUACUUUAUACUUUUGUUAGAAUAAAUUAUUCAAAUCUA